rnacentral:rRNA from 1 species
UGAGAGGGUGACCGGCCACAUUGGGACUGAGACACGGCCCAGACUCCUACGGGAGGCAGCAGUGGGGAAUAUUGCACAAUGGAGGAAACUCUGAUGCAGCGACGCCGCGUGAGUGAAGAAGUAAUUCGUUAUGUAAAGCUCUAUCAGCAGGGAAGAUAGUGACGGUACCUGACUAAGAAGCUCCGGCUAAAUACGUGCCAGCA